ensembl:lncRNA
AAAAAGUCGAGAAACUACAAUUUAGCCAUGUCUUCGCUGAAGACAUGAGUGAGUGAGUGGUGCUAAUUUCUCAGAAGAAUGGAAAGGUGAUAGAGAUUCAUCCGAACCUAAUGGGAUUUAGAAGUUGGAGAUUCUCCAGCCAGUCCUCACCAAACAUCACUGAGGCAGUGAAUAAAGAGUCCUACCCACUCCUUCAGAGAAAUGCUCUCACACCUUGGAGAGAUCUGAGGAGCAGAAGGGAAGAGAAAGAGAGAGGUACCGAGAGAUUGGAGAGGACAUCACCCUCUCUCUCAAGCUUAGCCUGCCUCGAUGAACCUCAGCAAACUAAAGUUGCCUUGCCUUGUGCUAGUUCCUGCCUGACCCGGACCCUCAGCAUCCCUGACACCAGCUCCACCAGUACCUUGUCUGGCUUCUGUUCUAUCACUAUCACUGCUCGGAGAGUUUCAUUCAGUGGGGAUGCUUGCCACGAAACAAGGCCUUUCCACUCACAAGAACAGCUCCCAUCAUCCUCUACCUCAAACGUAAAGUCCGAUUGCAAAGCAACCAUGGUGAAAAUGGCUGAGGACAGUGGAAGAUACUACACAAGUGACGGGUUUUCUGCUCACCUAGCACCUCCAGAGCAUAGACACAGCUGCACCGACAGUGGAACAACCAGCCAGAGACUGACUAGUCUCUCAUGGAGAGAAGCUAAUGAGGCUAGCUCUUCCUCUUUAGUCUCAAAACAUCUCAUUUUCCGCUCAUCUGCCCACCUGGAACUUCUCCCAUGCCAGCCUAAGAGUUCCACCUUUUAUCUGGAUAAAUCCCUUUCAGUCCCUCUUGAGAGUUCUCAAGAGGUCAGACAGGCCAUGUACAGAUCCACACUAUCGCUUCACCUUGGAAGAGCACCUUCGUCUUCCCACACAGGGAAAUUGCAAGUGAUGAGAAUUCCCAUUAGGUCCUCCAGCGAAAGCGAUAUGGUAGACUUUACUCGUAAUGCAACAGGAGAACAAUCCUGUUGCCUUAAGAACACGGCCACGGUCAAUUCCAGCCCCACCAGGUCUGACUCGAGUGUACUGAGGGCCACUUUAGCACCAUUGCCAUUCAGAGCGAGGUGCCGCUCAUCCUCAGCUGCAGUCAGACUGACUGGAAAGGCUAAUGAUGUCUCUGGGCCUCUCCAGUGCAAUCAAAGGGGGGGCGUUGAAGACCCAGGAGCGGGUUUUGGUCCCUUAUCCUGGCUUGCAGCCACAUUCUCCAGCUAA